GUGCUCACUUAGGCAGCACAUAUGCUAAAACUAGAAUGAUAUAGAGAAGACUAGCAUGGCCCCUGCUCAAGGACAACACAAGAAUGGUGAAGCAUCCCAUAUUUUU
ensembl:snRNA U6 U6 spliceosomal RNA